rnacentral:tRNA from 1 species
GGUAAUAGCCCAGUGGUAGAGUGCAUGCUUAGCAUGCACGAGGUCCUGGGUUCAAUCCCCAGUACCU